UACAGAGGUCCCAAGCGUUGUUCGGAUUCACUGGGCGUAAAGGGUGCGUAGGUGGUUAGGUAAGUCCGAUGUGAAAUCUCCGAGGCUCAACCUGGAAAUGGCAUUGGAUACUAUCUAGCUUGAGGAGUGGAGGGGGGACUGGAAUUCUCGGUGUAGCAGUGAAAUGCGUAGAUAUCGAGAGGAACACCAGUGGCGAAGGCGAGUCCCUGGACACUUCCUGACACUGAGGCACGAAAGCUAGGGGAGCAAACAGG
rnacentral:rRNA from 1 species